UACGAGGGGGGCAAAUGUUGUUCGGAAUCACUGGGCGUAAAGGGAGCGUAGGCGGGCUUUUAAGUUAGGUGUUUAAUCCCGGGGCCCAACCCCGGACAGGCACCUAAAACUGGGAGUCUUGAAUAGUGGAGAGGACGGCGGAAUUGGGGGUGUAGCGGUGGAAUGCGUAGAGAUCCCCAAGAACACCAGUUGCGAAGGCGGCCGUCUGGACACAUAUUGACGCUGAGGCUCGAAAGCGUGGGGAGCGAACAGG
rnacentral:rRNA from 1 species